rnacentral:rRNA from 1 species
UACGUAGGGUGCAAGCGUUGUCCGGAAUUAUUGGGCGUAAAAGAGCUCGUAGGCGGUCUGUCACGUCGGCUGUGAAAACCCGAGGCUCAACCUCGGGCCUGCAGUCGAUACGGGCAAACUAGAGUACUGCAGGGGAGACUGGAAUUCCUGGUGUAGCGGUGAAAUGCGCAGAUAUCGGGAGGAACGACCGGUGGCGAAGGCGGGUCUCUGGGCAGUAACUGACGCUGAGGAGCGAAAGCGUGGGGGAGCGAACAGG